AUGAGAUUUUUCUCUUUGCUUGCAGCUGGGCUUGGGCUGGUGGAGCAAACUGAAAUAUCAGUGACCAGAGCAAUAGAUGAGAGUGCUCAAAUAUCCUGUAAAGUUUCUAUUCAAGACUUUGGCAAAGUAGAUAUCUAUUGGUACCAGCAGAAAACAAAUAAACAGUUUGAGCAUCUCAUAAAUGUCAGGGAGAACUAUAAUCAACGCAACUUAGAAGGAAUAAACAAAAAAAUUGAAGCAAGCAAAGAUUUUCAAACUUCUACUUCAACUUUGAAAGUAAAUUUCUUGAAGAAAGAAGAUGAAGCCAUCUACUACUGUGCUUUUGGCAUUUCCUCUUCGUGGAUCAAGGCAUUUUCAAAAGGGACAAAGCUCAUAGUAAUUCCCUCAGACAAACACUUUGAUUUAGACAUUUCUCCCAAGCCCACCAUUUUUCUCCCUUCUGUUGCUGAAACAAAUCUCCAUAAGGCUGGGACAUUCCUUUGUCUCCUUGAGAAAUUCUUUCCUGAUGUCAUAAGUGUAUAUUGGAAAGAAAAGGAUAGCAGUAAGAUUCUGGCAUCUAAAAAGGGAAAUACCAUGAAGACUAAUGACACAUACAUGAAGUUAAGUUGGCUGACUGUGACUGAAGAUUCAAUGGAUAAAGAGUAUGGAUGUAUUGUCAAACAUGAACACAAUCCUAAAGGAGUUGACCAGGAGAUUCUGUUUCCUCCUAUAGAUAAAGUUGCCAACACCAUGACUCCCACAGAAGCUUAUUUGAAAUCUGAAAAUGAUGUGCUGCAGCUUCAGGUGACAAACACCUCUGCAUUCUAUACCUACAUCAUCCUGUUCUUCAAGAGUGUGGUCCACUUGGCCUUCAUUACAUUCUGUCUGUUUAGAAGAGCAGCUGUGCCUUGCAAUGGUCAAAGAUCAUGAUGGAUGAUGAAACAGAAAGGUCAUGUUAUUUUCAUCUUUUUUUGC